rnacentral:rRNA from 1 species
AUACGUAGGAUCCGAGCGUUGUCCGGAUUUACUGGGCGUAAAGGGUGCGUAGGCGGCGUGGUAAGUCUCAUGUGAAAUCUCCCGGCUCAACUGGGAGGGGUCAUGGGAUACUGCCAUGCUCGAGGGCAGUAGAGGAGAGCGGAAUUCCGGGAGUAGCGGUGAUAUGCGUAGAUACCCGGAGGAACACCCGUGGCGAAAGCGGCUCUCUAGGCUGUACCUGACGCUAAGGCACGAAAUCGUGGGGAGCAAACCGGAUUAGAAACCCCAGUAGUCC